rnacentral:misc_RNA from 1 species
UCCUCCAGUUGGGGGCCCUGUGA